GACGAACGCUGGCGGCGUGCUUAACACAUGCAAGUCGAGCGGAGCGGCGAACGGGUGAGUAACGCGUGAGUAACUGCCCCCCUCUCUGGGAUAACAGUUGGAAACGGCUGCUAAUACCGGAUAGUGGGGGCUGACUCGCGUCCUAUCAGCUUGUUGGUGGGGUAGUGGCCUACCAAGGCGACGACGGGUAGCCGGCCUGAGAGGGCGACCGGCCAAAUUGGGCUGAGAUACGGCCCGAGUGCCGACGGGAGGCAGCAGUGUGGAAUAUUGCAAAAUGGGGGAAACCCUGAAGCAGCAACGCGCGGGCGGGAUGACGGCCUUCGGGUUGUAAACCGCUUUCAGCCAGGACGCGGUAGUGGCAGAAGAAGCACCGGCUAACGACGUGCCAGCAGCCGCGGUAAUUC
rnacentral:rRNA from 1 species